GUGGGGAAUAUUGCGCAAUGGCCGCAAGGCUGACGCAGCGACGCCGUGUGUGGGAUGAAGGCUCUCGGGUUGUAAACCACUGUCAGGAGGGACGAAUACUCGGCUUCAAAUAGUUGACCGAGGGUGACGGUACCUCCAAAGGAAGCACCGGCUAACUCCGUGCCAGCAGCCGCGGUAACACGGAGGGUGCGAGCGUUGUCCGGAUUCACUGGGCGUAAAGCGCGCGUAGGCGGCUUUGUAAGUCAUCUGUGAAAUCCCGGGGCUCAACUCCGGGGCUGCAGGUGAUACUGCAGAGCUAGAGCUCGGUAGAGGCAAGUGGAAUUCCCGGUGUAGCGGUGGAAUGCGUAGAUAUCGGGAAGAACACCAGUGGCGAAGGCGGCUUGCUGGGCCGAUGCUGACGCUGAGGUGCGAAAGCGUGGGGAGCAAACAGG
rnacentral:rRNA from 1 species